rnacentral:rRNA from 1 species
UGAGGAAUAUUGCGCAAUGGAGGAAACUCUGACGCAGCCAUACCGCGUGCAGGAUGACAGUCCUAUGGAUUGUAAACUGCUUUUAUAUGGGAAGAAACCCUAGGACGUGUCCUGGGCUGACGGUACCAUAAGAAUAAGGACCGGCUAACUCCGUGCCAGCAGCCGCGGUAAUACGGAGGGUCCAAGCGUUAUCCGGAUUUAUUGGGUUUAAAGGGUCCGCAGGCGGGAUGCUAAGUCAGUGGUGAAAUCCUACAGCUCAACUGUAGAACUGCCAUUGAUACUGGUAUUCUUGAGUGUAGUUGAAGUAAGUGGAACGUGUUAAGUAGCGGUGAAAUGCAUAGAUAUAACACAGAACACCAAAAGCGAAGGCAGCUUACUAAGCUAUUACUGACGCUCAUGGACGAAAGCGUGGGGAGCAAACAGG